rnacentral:rRNA from 1 species
UACGUAGAGUGCAAGCGUUGUCCGGAAUCAUUGGGCGUAAAGGGUACGCAGGCGGAUAGGUAAGUCAAGUGUGAAAGUUCAUGGCUCAACCAUGAGAUUGCGUUUGAAACUGUCUAUCUUGAGUACAGCAGAGGGGAUCGGAAUUCCUGGUGGAGCGGUGAAAUGCGUAGAUAUCAGGAAGAACACCAGUGGCGAAGGCGGAUCUCUGGGCUGUAUCUGACGCUGAGGUACGAAAGCCAGGGCAGCGAACGGGAUUAGAUACCCCGGUAGUCCUGGCAGUAAACGCUGGACACCAGGUGUUGGUGGUUCGAAUCCAUCAGUGCCGCAGUUAACGCAUUAAGUGUCCCGCCUGGGGACUACGGUCGCAAGACUGAA